CUUUCUUUGUGAGUCUACUUGGUGGCCAGCAGUUGCUGUUUCUUCUAGGUAAGAUCAUCAGGAGCAGUUUCCAAGGAGACUACCUCCUUGUGGGUUGAAUCUUCAGCAGGUGCAUAUUAGCUCAUUUCCAGCGAAGUCUGCAGGUGCUAUUAGCCACCAAGAAGCACCAGGCCCUUGAUGGCUGCUGGAGGGAGCUCGCAAGAUAGUACAUGGUGCUGAUGUGACUGCAGGUUGGUUUGGAGCAGCUACAAAACCUGCACCAUCUGUGACUCAGUCCAAUGCAGUUUGAGAAUUGAGAUGUGAAGUGCAAAACAUACUUAGUGGGAAACAGGCUUGGGCCAUGAGAAGACCUUCUCAGCAGAGUAGCUCUGUUCCUUGUGGGAAGGGCACCCCCACAUUUGUAUCAGGAUAAUAGUAAUAAUAGAUAUGCGGUGUCACUAGCCCAAACUGCAAGAGUAUUGGUUGAGCAGCACAAUUAAGGGGAGGAAAACUUAAGUGACUCUUCAGAUCAAAAGCACAAAAGUCAAGCUAAAACCACAAGAAAAAUAAGCAUGUUCAAAUAUAAUAGACUACAAGCAACAUGUAUGUAACAACUAACCUAAGAUCUCAAUGACUGGCUUUGCAGCAUAAUUUUAAGGAUGAACUGUUCCUAAACAAUUUUUCCAGUGUAUUAAGCACUAACAGCAUCAGGCAUGCAUGUCUUGUUCCACUCUUUUUUUUCUUGAACAAACAAGUUGAAUGUGGCCAAUACAAGAAAAGAGCCCACUCUCCACUUAUGUGUGCACGUUCCUUUGUCCUCUUUCCGAUAUCCCCCAGUAAUGACGGAGUGCAGGAUCAUGUUCUGCUCUAAUGUCUUUCUUGUAAGAUUCGGAGGGUAGUGCCGUCAUGACCUUCGGGAGCAGUUUUUUCCAUUUGGAAGGAGAUGAGGGAGAGAGCAUUGAAUUUGAGAUUGAUUUUUCCUCCUUUUAGCAUGUGAGAAUUCAAAGCAAGCUUCUUGAUUCAUCAACAAUGACUGCAUCUCCAGCCUUAGAGAAUGCAAAGGCAUCAGUAGGAGCAGACUGAUGAAGUUAAUACCCUCAGACCACGCUGUGAAUGUGACUAGAGCCUGGUACAUUGUAUACUAUUGAAAAAAUGCUGAUGUUCCUUCCUGUG
ensembl:lncRNA